AUACGGAGGAUCCGAGCGUUAUCCGGAUUUAUUGGGUUUAAAGGGUGCGUAGGUGGUUUGAUAAGUCAGCGGUGAAAGUUUGCAGCUUAACUGUAAAAAUGCCGUUGAAACUGUCGGACUUGAGUGUAAAUGAGGUAGGCGGAAUGCGUGGUGUAGCGGUGAAAUGCAUAGAUAUCACGCAGAACUCCGAUUGCGAAGGCAGCUUACUAAGCUACAACUGACACUGAAGCACGAAAGCGUGGGGAUCAAACAGGAUUAGAUACCCUGGUAGUCCACGCAGUAAACGAUGAUUACUAGCUGUUUGCGAUACACAGUAAGCGGCACAGCGAAAGUGUUAAGUAAUCCACCUGGGGAGUACGCCGGCAACGGUGAAACUCAAAGGAAUUGACGGGG
rnacentral:rRNA from 1 species